GAGUUUGAUCGUGGCUCAGGACGAACGCUGGCGGCGUGCCUAACACAUGCAAGUCGAGCGGAGAUAAUCCUUCGGGAGUAUCUAAGCGGCGGACGGGGUGAGUAACACGUGGGCAACCUGCCUCACAGAGGGGGAUAGGCUCCCGAAAGGGAGAUUAAUACCGCAUAAGAAGUAAGAGUCGCAUGAUUCAAGCUUUAAAGGUUGUAAAUCCGAAAGGGUUUACAGCCACUGUGAGAUGGGCCCGCGGCGCAUUAGUUAGUUGGUGAGGUAACGGCCCACCAAGGCGACGAUGCGUAGCCGACCUGAGAGGGUGAACGGCCACAUUGGAACUGAGAGACGGUCCAGACUCCUACGGGAGGCAGCAGUGGGGAAUAUUGCACAAUGGGCAAAAGCCUGAUGCAGCAACGCCGCGUGAGUGAAGAAGGUUUUCGGAUUGUAAAGCUCUGUCUUUGGGGACGAUAAUGACGGUACCCGAGGAGGAAGCCACGGCUAACUACGUGCCAGCAGCCGCCGUAAC
rnacentral:rRNA from 1 species